GCGUUGUCCGGAAUCAUUGGGCGUAAAGAGCGCGUAGGCGGUCCGGUAAGUCCGCUGUGAAAGUCAAGGGCUCAACCCUUGGAUGCCGGUGGAUACUGUCAGACUAGAGUCCGGAAGAGGCGAGUGGAAUUCCUGGUGUAGCGGUGAAAUGCGCAGAUAUCAGGAGGAACACCCAUGGCGAAGGCAGCUCGCUGGGACGGUACUGACGCUGAGGCGCGAAAGCGUG
rnacentral:rRNA from 1 species